rnacentral:rRNA from 1 species
CCUACGGGGGGCAGCAGUGGGGGAUAUUGCACAAUGGGGGGAACCCUGAUGCAGCGACGCCGCGUGAAGGAAGAAGUAUCUCGGUAUGUAAACUUCUAUCAGCAGGGAAGAAAAUGACGGUACCUGACUAAGAAGCCCCGGCUAACUACGUGCCAGCAGCCGCGGUAAUACGUAGGGGGCAAGCGUUAUCCGGAUUUACUGGGUGUAAAGGGAGCGUAGGCGGCAGUGCAAGUCAGAAGUGAAAGCCCGGGGCUCAACUCCGGGACUGCUUUUGAAACUGUACAGCUUGAUUGCAGGAGAGGCAA